rnacentral:lncRNA from 12 species
CUUACCCAAACCAAUUCAUCUUCAGUGCUCCUUUCCCUGGAAGCAGUUGCUGCUCUGCUACUGCAGAUUUCACUGGAGCAGCCCCUGAUUUGAGGAGUUGAAAACUUAAUAUGAUGGUUCCCUCUCCAACUUACACUAAGCAACAUGUGGCAAGUUCAAUACCACAGUGGCUCUACCAGCAGCAGAACUGGAUAUGUAGAGCCAUGGAAAUGGUCUGAGAGCUGAACGAGA